UGACCAUGGCUCAGGAAAAGAGAUUUAGGUC
rnacentral:piRNA from 1 species